GAUUCAGAUCAAAUUUUUUGAUAAGGAUGAACUGUUGACAUAGAUGAACAAAAAUCAAGUAAUAUUGAUAUUCGAAUCAAAUUUUUUGAUGAGGAUUAACAGUUGACAUAUAUACAAAGAUAUUAACAAACAUGAAUGUCAGGUGUAUAUUAUAUUUAUUUAAGUAUGUGUGUACUUCAAUGAAUAAUUGAAUAACUUUCUUUUAGUUUAAUUUGUUUUAAGAAUGAUAAAAAUCAUUGAGGUUCUUGUUUGUAAUCAAAUAGUCAGAAAACUUAUAGAAAACAACAUCCCGAGUACUUAACUCCAAGCUUAUUUGUUAUUAUGAAGAAUGGACCACUGAAAUUGGUUGACGUGGAAAGGUCAUUCAGUUUAUAAAAAAAAUUGAUAAAACAAAUUAAAUUCUUAACAAUAUGGCUAAAUACAGUAUAGUGAACACCUUUUCACAAU